rnacentral:rRNA from 1 species
GAUGAACGCUGGCGGCGUGCCUAAUACAUGCAAGUCGAGCGAACAGACGAGGAGCUUGCUCCUCUGACGUUAGCGGCGGACGGGUGAGUCACACGUGGAUAACCUACCUAUAAGACUGGGAUAACUUCGGGACACCGGAGCUAAUACCGGAUAAUAUAUUGAACCGCAUGGUUCAAUAGUGAAAGACGGUUUUGCUGUCACUUAUAGAUGGAUCCGCGCCGCAUUAGCUAGUUGGUAAGGUAACGGCUUACCAAGGCGACGAUGCGUAGCCGACCUGAGAGGGUGAUCGGCCACACUGGAACUGGGACACGGUCCAGACUCCUACGGGAGGCAGCAGUAGGGAAUCUUCCGCAAUGGGCGAAAGCCUGACGGAGCAACGCCGCGUGAGUGAUGAAGGUCUUCGGAUCGUAAAACUCUGUUAUUAGGGAAGAACAAAUGUGUAAGUAACUAUGCACGUCUUGACGGUACCUAAUCAGAAAGCCACGGCUAACUACGUG